rnacentral:rRNA from 1 species
AACGAACGCUGGCGGCAUGCCUAACACAUGCAAGUCGAACGAGACCUUCGGGUCUAGUGGCGCACGGGUGCGUAACGCGUGGGAACCUGCCCUUAGGUUAGGAAUAACUCCCCGAAAGGGGUGCUAAUACCGGAUAAUGUCUUCGGACCAAAGAUUUAUCGCCUUUGGAUGGGCCCGCGUUGGAUUAGCUAGUUGGUAGGGUAAAAGCCUACCAAGGCGACGAUCCAUAGCUGGUCUGAGAGGAUGAUCAGCCACACUGGGAAUGAGACACGGCCCAGACUCCUACGGGAGGCAGCAGUGGGGAAUAUUGGACAAUGGGCGAAAGCCUGAUCCAGCAAUGCCGCGUGAGUGAUGAAGGCCUUAGGGUUGUAAAGCUCUUUUACCCGGGAUGAUAAUGACAGUACCGGGAGAAUAAGCUCCGGCUAACUCCGUG